rnacentral:rRNA from 1 species
AUUGAACGCUGGCGGCAGGCCUAACACAUGCAAGUCGAGCGGAUGAAGGGAGCUUGCUCCUGGAUUCAGCGGCGGACGGGUGAGUAAUGCCUAGGAAUCUGCCUGGUAGUGGGGGAUAACGUCCGGAAACGGGCGCUAAUACCGCAUACGUCCUGAGGGAGAAAGUGGGGGAUCUUCGGACCUCACGCUAUCAGAUGAGCCUAGGUCGGAUUAGCUAGUUGGUGGGGUAAGGGCCUACCAAGGCGACGAUCCGUAACUGGUCUGAGAGGAUGAUCAGUCACACUGGAAGUGAGACACGGUCCAGACUCCUGAGGGAGGCAGCAGUGGGGAAUAUUGGACAAUGGGCGAAAGCCUGAUCCAGCCAUGCCGCGUGUGUGAAGAAGGUCUUCGGAUUGUAAAGCACUUUAAGUUGGGAGGAAGGGCAGUAAGUUAAUACCUUGCUGUUUUGACGUUACCAGCAGAAUAAGCACCGGCUAACUUCGUG